rnacentral:rRNA from 1 species
GACGAACGCUGGCGGCGUGCUUAACACAUGCAAGUCGAACGGAAAGGCCCUGCUUUUGUGGGGUGCUCGAGUGGCGAACGGGUGAGUAACACGUGAGUAACCUGCCCUUGACUUUGGGAUAACUUCAGGAAACUGGGGCUAAUACCGGAUAGGAGCUCCUGCUGCAUGGUGGGGGUUGGAAAGUUUCGGCGGUUGGGGAUGGACUCGCGGCUUAUCAGCUUGUUGGUGGGGUAGUGGCUUACCAAGGCUUUGACGGGUAGCCGGCCUGAGAGGGUGACCGGCCACAUUGGGACUGAGAUACGGCCCAGACUCCUACGGGAGGCAGCAGUGGGGAAUAUUGCACAAUGGGCGGAAGCCUGAUGCAGCAACGCCGUGUGCGGGAUGACGGCCUUCGGGUUGUAAACCGCUUUCGCCUGUGACGAAGCGUGAGUGACGGUAAUGGGGAAAGAAGCACCGGCUAACUACGU